rnacentral:rRNA from 1 species
GAUGAACGCUGGCGGCGUGCCUAAUACAUGCAAGUCGCGCGAACGGACGAGAAGCUUGCUUCUCUGAUGUUAGCGGCGGACGGGUGAGUAACACGUGGAUAACCUACCUAUAAGACUGGGAUAACUUCGGGAAACCGGAGCUAAUACCGGAUAAUAUUUUGAACCGCAUGGUUCAAAAGUGAAAGACGGUCUUGCUGUCACUUAUAGAUGGAUCCGCGCUGCAUUAGCUAGUUGGUAAGGUAACGGCUUACCAAGGCAACGAUGCAUAGCCGACCUGAGAGGGUGAUCGGCCACACUGGAACUGAGACACGGUCCAGACUCCUACGGGAGGCAGCAGUAGGGAAUCUUCCGCAAUGGGCGAAAGCCUGACGGAGCAACGCCGCGUGAGUGAUGAAGGUCUUCGGAUCGCAAAACUCUGUUAUUAGGGAAGAACAUAUGUGUAAGUAACUGUGCACAUCUUGACGGUACCUAAUCAGAAAGCCACGGCUAACUACGUGCCAGCAGCCGCGGUAAUACGUAGGUGGCAAGCGUUAUCCGGAAUUAUUGGGCGUAAAGCGCGCGUAGGCGGUUUUUUAAGUCUGAUGUGAAAGCCCACGGCUCAACCGUGGAGGGUCAUUGGAAACUGGAAAACUUGAGUGCAGAAGAGGAAAGUGGAAUUCCAUGUGUAGCGGUGAAAUGCGCAGAGAUAUGGAGGAACACCAGUGGCGAAGGCGACUUUCUGGUCUGUAACUGACGCUGAUGUGCGAAAGCGUGGGGAUCAAACAGGAUUAGAUACCCUGGUAGUCCACGCCGUAAACGAUGAGUGCUAAGUGUUAGGGGGUUUCCGCCCCUUAGUGCUGCAGCUAACGCAUUAAGCACUCCGCCUGGGGAGUACGACCGCAAGGUUGAAACUCAAAGGAAUUGACGGGGACCCGCACAAGCGGUGGAGCAUGUGGUUUAAUUCGAAGCAACGCGAAGAACCUUACCAAAUCUUGACAUCCUUUGACAACUCUAGAGAUAGAGCCUUCCCCUUCGGGGGGGCAAAGUGACAGGUGGUGCAUGGUUGUCGUCAGCUCGUGUCGUGAGAUGUUGGGUUAAGUCCCGCAACGAGCGCAACCCUUAAGCUUAGUUGCCAUCAUUAAGUUGGGCACUCUAAGUUGACUGCCGGUGACAAACCGGAGGAAGGUGGGGAUGACGUCAAAUCAUCAUGCCCCUUAUGAUUUGGGCUACACACGUGCUACAAUGGACAAUACAAAGGGCAGCGAAACCGCGAGGUCAAGCAAAUCCCAUAAAGUUGUUCUCAGUUCGGAUUGUAGUCUGCAACUCGACUACAUGAAGCUGGAAUCGCUAGUAAUCGUAGAUCAGCAUGCUACGGUGAAUACGUUCCCGGGUCU